rnacentral:rRNA from 1 species
UUGGAGGGCAAGUCUGGUGCCAGCAGCCGCGGUAAUUCCAGCUCCAAUAGCGUAUAUUAAAGUUGUUGCAGUUAAAAAGCUCGUAGUUGAAUUUCGGGGUUAGUAGGUUGGUCAUGCCCCUGGUAUGUACUGGUCUCACUGAUUCCUCCUUCCUGAUGAGCCGUAAUGCCAUUAAUUUGGUGUUGCGGGGAAUUUGGACUGUUACUUUGAAAAAAUUAGAGUGUUUAAAGCAAGCUAACGCUUGAAUACAUUAGCAUGGAAUAAUGAAAUAGGACGUUCGAUCCUAUUUUGUUGGUUUCUAGGAUUGACGUAAUGAUUAAUAGGGAUAGUUGGGGGCAUUAGUAUUCAAUUGUCAGAGGUGAAAUUCUUGGAUUUAUUGAAGACUAACUACUGCGAAAGCAUUUGCCAAGGAUGUUUUCAUUAAUCAAGAACGAAAGUUAGGGGAUCGAAGACGAUCAGAUACCGUCGUAGUCUUAACCAUAAACUAUGCCGACUAGGGAUCGGAUGAUGUUAAUUUUUUAAUGACUCAUUCGGCGCCUUACGGGAAAC